rnacentral:SRP_RNA from 1 species
GCCGGGCAUGGUGGCACAUGCCUGUAGUCCUAGCUACUCGGGAGGCUGAGGCAGGAGGAUUGCUUGAGCCCAGGAGAUUGAGGUUGCUGUGAGCUAGGCUGAUGCCACGGCACUCACUCUAGCCCGGGCAACAAAGUGAGACUCUGUCUCAAAAAAAAAAAAAAAAUUACUUCAACCUACUCAGGAGGUUGAAGCAGGAGGUUGAGGCUAUAGUGUGCUGUAUCAGACCUGUGAGUAACUACUGCACUCCAGCCUGGGCAACAUGGCAAGACUCUGUCUCU